UUGUUAUUUAAAAGAUGGUUCUGCUAUCACUAAGAGAUGGUCCCGCGGUGCAUUAGCUAGUUGGUAAGGUAAUGGCUUACCAAGGCGAUGAUGCAUAGCCGAGUUGAGAGACUGAUCGGCCACAAUGGGACUGAGACACGGCCCAUACUCCUACGGGAGGCAGCAGUAGGGAAUCUUCCACAAUGGGCGAAAGCCUGAUGGAGCAACGCCGCGUGUGUGAUGAAGGGUUUCGGCUCGUAAAACACUGUUGUAAGAGAAGAAUGACAUUGAGAGUAACUGUUCAAUGUGUGACGGUAUCUUACCAGAAAGGAACGGCUAAAUACGUGCCAGCAGCCGCGGUAAUACGUAUGUUCCAAGCGUUAUCCGGAUUUAUUGGGCGUAAAGCGAGCGCAGACGGUUAUUUAAGUCUGAAGUGAAAGCCCUCAGCUCAACUGAGGAAUUGCUUUGGAAACUGGAUGACUUGAGUGCAGUAGAGGAAAGUGGAACUCCAUGUGUAGCGGUGAAAUGCGUAGAUAUAUGGAAGAACACCAGUGGCGAAGGCGGCUUUCUGGACUGUAACUGACGUUGAGGCUCGAAAGUGUGGGUAGCAAACAGGAUUAGAUACCC
rnacentral:rRNA from 1 species